rnacentral:rRNA from 1 species
AUUGAACGCUGGCGGCAGGCCUAACACAUGCAAGUCGAGCGGAUGAAGGGAGCUUGCUCCUGGAUUCAGCGGCGGACGGGUGAGUAAUGCCUAGGAAUCUGCCUGGUAGUGGGGGAUAACGUCCGGAAACGGGCGCUAAUACCGCAUACGUCCUGAGGGAGAAAGUGGGGGAGCUUCGGACCUCACGCUAUCAGAUGAGCCUAGGUCGGAUUAGCUAGUUGGUGGGGUAAGGGCCUACCAAGGCGACGAUCCGUAACUGGUCUGAGAGGAUGAUCAGUCACACUGGAACUGAGACACGGUCCAGACUCCUACGGGAGGCAGCAGUGGGGAAUAUUGGACAAUAGGCGAGAGCCUUAUCCAGCCAGGCCGCGUGUGUGAAGAAGGUCUUCGGAUUGUAAAGCACUUUAAGUUGGGAGGAAGGGCAGUAAGUUAAUACCUUGCUGUUUUGACGUUACCAACAGAAUAAGCACCGGCUAACUUCGUG